CCUAUUCCCUCUCCUCCCUCGGCUUAUCCUCAGGUACGCAGCCGUACCCUCCUCUCUUCUCCUCUCUUCUAUAACUUGGUUUCUUUGGUGCGAAGGGGGCUUACAGAGGCCCGAAACCCCGGCGGGAUUUGGUAGGCGACUGGGUCUCCAACAACGAUGGGUUCGUCCGGAGCUUGCCCAUCUUCGUGGGCGGCCUCUCCUUGCUCGCUGUCCUCCUUAACCGCGCCUUCUCCGGCAUCGCCCCCGAGUUCUUGAACGACGACGGCGACGAGAAUUCUCCAUAAUAUCUGUCUACUUUCUUCUUCGAUCAACCUUAUCUGUUACCAAUUGAGUGAUCAAAGAUAAUUCUCCAUAAUAUCUGGUUCUAUCUCUCAAGAUACCAAGUCUCAUGAUUGAUUUCUUUAUUCUUUUUAUCAGGUGCUAUCUGUGGCUGUGUACAACCACUAUAAAAGAAUCUAUCAUGCAUCUUUACAGAAAGUAUCUGGAGCUGAUUCAGGGAAUUUUGAGGCUGAAAAUGAUGAUGAUAAUGUAGAGUUAGAGAAAAGCAAUGUGCUCUUGAUGGGCCUUACUGGCUCAGGAAAGACAUUACUUGCAAAAACAUUAGCUCGCUUUGUGAAUGUGCCGUUUGUUAUUGCAGAUGCAACAACACUGACACAGGUAAGUGCGCUACUGUUCUUUUAGUUCCCUACUAUGUUGAAAAUAAAAAUUAUAUAUUCUUUUCUUAGUAUGUCCUAUGAUCCAAGUAUCUUUACUGUUGCGAUUUCCUAGCUUUUCAGAUCUAAUACUUCUUUUUUCUUACAGCAUAUAUUUAUGAUUCAACAGCUAGCCAUGACCUACUUGAUAGCUUUUCUUUUGUUUUGCUUCUUCUGUUCAAUUUCUUUUUGAUAAUAGGAAAGGGGACCAAGAGUUGAGAAAAGUAAUGGGAGAAACAGCCAGAUGACAUACCGGGGGGAACCACCUCUCAAGCUUUAAACAUGAUGCCUCACCCAAAUGAAGAGGUGCAAACUAUUGGGCUGUUGCCCAAUUUGUUUCUUGAGCAUUUUUUUACUUAAAAAAUUUGGUUACUUUCUAAAUCGUAUAUGAAAUAGCUCGUAGCAAUUGCAUAUAAUAAUAACUAAUAUACAUCUAUGACUACUGUUUUGAUGCAUAUAUUGUAGCAAUUGCAUGCUUACAAGGGAUUUCUAUGAGGUGGCACUUGUAAAUUGAGUAGAUUUUGGACCUAUUUGAGCAAAAUGAAAAACAGAAGGUUGAUAUGCAGCAAUACAAAAUGCAAGAGGUAUUCGCAACUCAGUACAAAAUGUAAUGGGGUAUUUAUUUUUAUCUCAGUUUUAUCAACUUUCUAGCUACUCCUUUAAAAUCUAUAGCUAUGCUUAGAACCGGUUUCUUAUGACAAACUCAAGGAGCAUCAUUGGCAUUCUCUGAUGAGAUCUCAAGCUCCACUUAUUCAACAACCUUCUUUGAUGUUGCUGUUUCUCUGUUUGUAUGGGUACUGUGGAGUGUUUGGAAGUAGAUGUUUGGUUGAUUUGUACUUUGAUCUUGUGGGUGUUCACCUUUUUUUGGUGCAUUGUUUUGAGCUAUUGCCUACCUCAGACAUAUGAUAGGUUGGGAUUUUGUUGGUUUUGAGCAAUUAACCAUUUUCCUAGCAUUCUCUGAUGAGAUCUCAAGCUCCACUUAUUCAACAACCUUCUUUGAUGUUGCUGUUUCUCUGUUUGUAUGGGUACUGUGGAGUGUUUGGAAGUAGAUGUUUGGUUGAUUUGUACUUUGA